rnacentral:rRNA from 1 species
GUAGGGGUGCGAGCGUUAUCCGGGAAUCAUUGGGCGUAAAGAGCUCGUAGGCGGUUCAGCAAGUCGGCUGUGAAAUUCCGAGGGCUCAACCUCGGAACUGCAGUCGAUACUGCUGUGACUCGAGUCCGGUAGAGGAGAAUGGAAUUCCCGGUGUAGCGGUGAAAUGCGCAGAUAUCGGGAGGAACACCAGUAGCGAAGGCGGUUCUCUGGGCCGGCACUGACGCUGAGGAGCGAAAGCGUGGGUAGCAAACAGGAUUAGAUACCCUGGUAGUCCACGCCGUAAACGUUGGAUACUAGGUGUGGCGUUCCGACCAACGGUCGCCGUGCCGAAGCUAACGCAUUAAGUAUCCCGCCUGGGGAGUACGGCCGCAAGGCUA